CAGGACUUGACAUCCCGCGAAUCCUGCCGAAAGGCAGGAGUGCUCGCAAGAGAGCGCGGAGACAGGUGGUGCAUGGCUGUCGUCAGCUCGUGUCGUGAGAUGUUGGGUUAAGUCCCGCAACGAGCGCAACCCUCACCCCUUGUUGCCAUCAGGUCAUGCUGGGCACUCUAGGGGAACUGCCCCGGUCAACGGGGAGGAAGGCGGGGAUGACGUCAAGUCAUCAUGCCCCUUACGUCCUGGGCUACACACGUGCUACAAUGGCCGGUACAAAGGGAUGCAACGCCGCGAGGCAGAGCCAAACCCAAAAAGCCGGUCUAAGUUCAGAUUGGAGUCUGCAACUCGACUCCAUGAAGGAGGAAUCGCUAGUAAUCGCGUAUCAGCACGACGCGGUGAAUACGUUCCC
rnacentral:rRNA from 1 species